GUAGGGUGCGAGCGUUGUCCGGAUUUAUUGGGCGUAAAGGGCUCGUAGGUGGUUGAUCGCGUCGGAAGUGUAAUCUUGGGGCUUAACCCUGAGCGUGCUUUCGAUACGGGUUGACUUGAGGAAGGUAGGGGAGAAUGGAAUUCCUGGUGGAGCGGUGGAAUGCGCAGAUAUCAGGAGGAACACCAGUGGCGAAGGCGGUUCUCUGGGCCUUUCCUGACGCUGAGGAGCGAAAGCGUGGGGAGCGAACAGGCUUAGAUACCCUGGUAGUCCACGCUGUAAACGGUGGGUACUAGGUGUGGGGUCCAUUCCCACGGGUUCCGUGCCGUAGCUAACGCUUUAAGUACCCCGCCUGGGAGUACGGCCGCAAGGCUA
rnacentral:rRNA from 1 species